CCGGGAUGAGCUCAAAUUUGAAAUCUGGCGUCUUUCAGGCGUCCGAGUUGUAAUCUAUAGAGGCGUUUUCCGCGCCGGACCGCGUCCAAGUCUCUUGGAAUAGAGUAUCAAAGAGGGUGACAAUCCCGUACUUGACGCGACAACCGGUGCUCUGUGAUACGUUCUCAAUGAGUCGAGUUGUUUGGGAAUGCAGCUCUAAAUGGGUGGUAAAUUCCAUCUAAGGCUAAAUAUUGGCGAGAGACCGAUAGCGAACAAGUACCGUGAGGGAAAGAUGAAAAGCACUUUGGAAAGAGAGUUAAACAGCACGUGAAAUUGUUAAAAGGGAAACGAUUGAAGUCAGUCGUGUGGGAAGUAUUCAGCCGUCUCUGGCGGUGUAUUUGCUUCUCACGGGUCAACAUCAGUUUGAUCCGGUAGAAAAAGGCGGGAAGAAGGUGGCACCCUCGGGUGUGUUAUAGCUUCCUGUCAUAUGUGCCGGACCAGACUGAGGAACGCAGCUUGCAGCAAUGCCGGGGUUCGCCCACGUACAAGCUUAGGAUGUUGACAUAAUGGCUUUAAACGACCCGUCUU
rnacentral:rRNA from 1 species